ensembl:miRNA cin-mir-78 cin-mir-78
AUUGGAUGUUGAGAGGACACUUAUCGGGCAUCAGUUUGUGAUGAACAGCGUCAUGGAUGAAACUGGAGGCCUUGGUGUUUCCUGUAUAGUUGAUAAUGG